UACGUAGGGGGCAAGCGUUGUCCGGAUUUAUUGGGCGUAAAGAGCGUGUAGGCGGUUUUUACAGGUCCGCUGUGAAAACUCGAGGCUCAACCUCGAGCUGUCGGUGGAAACCGUAAGGCUAGAGUCCGGAAGAGGAGAGUGGAAUUCCUGGUGUAGCGGUGAAAUGCGCAGAUAUCAGGAAGAACACCCGUGGCGAAGGCGGCUCUCUGGGACGGUAC
rnacentral:rRNA from 1 species